AACGAACGCUGGCGGCAUGCCUAACACAUGCAAGUCGAACGAGACCUUCGGGUCUAGUGGCGCACGGGUGCGUCACGCGUGGGAACCUGCACUUAUGUUCGGAAUACCUCCCCGACUGGGGUGCUAAUACCGGAUCAUGUCUUCGGACCAAAGAUUUAUCGCCUUUGGAUGUUCCCGCGUUGGAUUAGCUAGUUGGUAGGGUAAAAGCCUACCACGGCGACGAUCCAUAGCUGGUCUGAGAGGAUGAUCAGCCACACUGGGACUGAGACGCGGCCCAGACUCCUACGGGAGGCAGCAGUGGGGAAUAUUGGACAAUGGGCGAAAGCAUGAUGCAGCUAUGCCGCGUGAGUGAUGAAGGCCGUAGGGUUGUAAAGCUCUUUUACCCGGGAUGAUAAUGACAGUACCGGGAGAAUAAGCUCCGGCUAACUCCGUG
rnacentral:rRNA from 1 species